UACGGAGGGUGCAAGCGUUAUCCGGAUUUACUGGGUUUAAAGGGUGUGUAGGCGGGCUUUUAAGUCAGUGGUGAAAUCUCCGGGCUCAACCCGGAAACUGCCAUUGAUACUAUUAGUCUUGAAUUUUGUUGAGGUAGGCGGAAUAAGUCAUGUAGCGGUGAAAUGCUUAGAUAUGACUUAGAACACCAAUUGCGAAGGCAGCUUGCUAAACAAAUAUUGACGCUGAGGCACGAAAGCGUGGGGAUCAAACAGGG
rnacentral:rRNA from 1 species